rnacentral:rRNA from 1 species
UUAGUGGCGCACGGGUGAGUAACACGUGGGAACCUACCUUGGAGCGGGGAAUAACUUCGGGAAACUGAAGCUAAUACCGCAUACGCCCUUCGGGGGAAAGGCUUCGGCCACUCCUAGAUGGUCCCGCGCCCGAUUAGCUUGUUAGUGAGGUAACGGCUCACCAAGGCGACGAUCGGUAGCUGGUCUGAGAGGAUGAUCAGCCACACUGGGACUGAGACACGGCCCAG